CUAUAANUGCAGUCGAGCGAUGGAUUAAGAGCUUGCUCUUAUGAAGUUAGCGGCGGACGGGUGAGUAACACGUGGGUAACCUACCCAUAAGACUGGGAUAACUCCGGGAAACCGGGGCUAAUACCGGAUAAUAUUUUGAACUGCAUAGUUCGAAAUUGAAAGGCGGCUUCGGCUGUCACUUAUGGAUGGACCCGCGUCGCAUUAGCUAGUUGGUGAGGUAACGGCUCACCAAGGCGACGAUGCGUAGCCGACCUGAGAGGGUGAUCGGCCACACUGGGACUGAGACACGGCCCAGACUCCUACGGGAGGCAGCAGUAGGGAAUCUUCCGCAAUGGACGAAAGUCUGACGGAGCAACGCCGCGUGAGUGAUGAAGGCUUUCGGGUCGUAAAACUCUGUUGUUAGGGAAGAACAAGUGCUAGUUGAAUAAGCUGGCACCUUGACGGUACCUAACCAGAAAGCCACGGCUAACUACGUGCCAGCAGCCGCGGUAAUACGUAGGUGGCAAGCGUUAUCCGGAAUUAUUGGGCGUAAAGCGCGCGCAGGUGGUUUCUUAAGUCUGAUGUGAAAGCCCACGGCUCAACCGUGGAGGGUCAUUGGAAACUGGGAGACUUGAGUGCAGAAGAGGAAAGUGGAAUUCCAUGUGUAGCGG
rnacentral:rRNA from 1 species